GUGAAUAAUGCUGCUGUGAAUAUGAGCGUACAGAUAUCUCUGCAAGACUGUGCUUUCAGCUCUUCGGGCACCUGACCUGGGACGUCUGGAUCACACGGUCAUCCUGUGAACACCUGAUGUUGAUGGCAACCACAUUUCUGUCUCCUGUUAGCCUUUCUGCUAAUCAAGCUUGAUUUUUGGUGGUGGAAGUACAUAGCAAUCUGCGGCAGGAUGAGAUUAGACUUGAAACUUUAAUUCCACAAAUGGCCAGCACAUAAAUGGACACGAAGGACCACGGUGCAAGCAGAAAGCAGUGAGAAGAACUGACCUAGUGGUCUUUAUUCUAGAAUCAGACACUGCCAAACUGUUUUCUGAGAAGUGCUGGUCACUGUAGGCCUCUGCUAUGAUCACAGACACACCAAAGGGACCACGACUACUCGAAGACAUUGGGCAUUCCUUUCAA